rnacentral:rRNA from 1 species
UACGGAGGGUGCAAGCGUUGCUCGGAAUUAUUGGGCGUAAAGGGUAGGUAGGUGGUCUCGUUUGUCUGGGGUGAAAGCCUUGAGCUUAACUCAAGAAGUGCCCCAGAAACGGCGAGACUAGAGUCUUGGAGAGGGUCGUGGAAUUCCCGGUGUAGCGGUGAAAUGCGUAGAGAUCGGGAGGAACACCAGAGGCGAAGGCGGCGACCUGGGUUAACACUGACGCUCAUGCACGAAAGCGUGGGGAGCAAACAGG